rnacentral:rRNA from 1 species
CAGUAGCCACGGGAAUACGAAGGGUGCAAGCGUUACUCGGAAUUACUGGGGGUAAAGCGUGCGUAGGUGGUUGUUUAAGUCUGCUGUGAAAGCCCUGGGCUCAACCUGGGAAUUGCAGUGGAUACUGGGCAACUAGAGUAAGGUAGAGGAUAGUGGAAUUUCCGGUGUAGCAGUGAAAUGCGUAGAGAUCGGAAGGAACAUCUGUGGCGAAGGCGACUAUCUGGGCCAUUACUGACACUGAGGCACGAAAGCGUGGGGAGCAAACAGGAUUAGAUACCCCAGUAGUCCCUGUCUCUUAUAU